rnacentral:rRNA from 1 species
CAAUAGCGUAUAUUAAAGUUGUUGCGGUUAAAAAGCUCGUAGUUGGAUUUCUGCCGAGGACGACCGGUCCGCCCACUGGGUGAGUAUCUGGGACGACCUGGGCAUCCUUCCAGAGAAUGUGUCUGCUCUUGACUGAGUUGGUGACAGUAUCUGGAACUUUUACUUUGAGGAAUUAGAGUGUUUCAAGCAGGCAUACGCCUUGAAUACAUUAGCAUGGAAUAAUAAGAUAGGACCUCGGUUCUAUUUUGUUGGUUUCUAGAGCUGAGGUAAUGAUUAAUAGGGAUAGUUUGGGGGCAUCCAUAUUUAACUGUCAGAGGUGAAAUUCUUGGAUUUGUUAAAGAUGAACUACUGCGAAAGCAUUUUGCCAAGGAUGUUUUCAUUGAUCAAGAACGAAAGUUAGGGGAUCGAAGAUGAUUAGAUACCAU